rnacentral:rRNA from 1 species
GACAGGGAGCCUCAAGCGUUUAGGCGGAAAGUCACUGGGCUUAAAGCGUGUGUAGGACCGGAUCGUUAAGUGCCUUGUGAAAUCCCACGGCUUAACUGUGGAACGGGCUGGGCAUACUGGCGGUCUUGAGCCAUCUAGGGGCGACUGGAACAAACGGUGGAGCGGGAUGAAAUGGCGUAGAUAUCGUUUGGAACGCCAAUGGUGAAAACAGGUCGCGUGGGGAUGAAGCUGGACGCCUGGAGGCACGAAAGGCCAGGGGGAGCAAAACAGG